AAACUGAAAGAAAAACGGGCGGCUUUGUAGCUCUGUCUUCCUCUCCUCCCUCCCCUCCUCUGCCCCCCCCCCGCCCCUUGUUUAAGUCCCUUCUCUCAAUUUAGGCCCAGAAAUAGGUCAGCUCCAUUACCGAUCAGCCUUCCCACAAAUAUUUAAAACAAAUUGAAUUGCACACCCAAUACCCAUCACAAUUACGGCAGCCACAAUAACUAAAUUAGCAAUUCAACAAAAUAAUUGGAAAUGCGAUUCUCUCUAUUCCACAGCUGCCCUCGGGGGCUUUUGCCCGCUUUGUGUGUGGGGUGGGGGUGGGGACUCUGUUUUACUAAUUCAGAAGCUAAUUAGAGCCACACUUGUAAAUGAAGUUGUUUGUCUGAAAGUUGGGAUUCUGAGCUGCUUUAUUGUGGGGGGGUGUCAUUUCUGCUGUGCUCACCGUGUGUGUGUGUGUGUGUGUGUGUGUGUGUGUGUGUGUGUGUGUGUGUGUUUAAGGGCCAUGCACAAAGUGCUAAUUAACAGGAGGUAUCACAAGUGACUGAAGGAGGUAUGAACUGGGCUGGAAAAUCCAGGCUAGCAGGUAAUUGAUGGCACUGGGAUAAACACUUCUCCUAGGCCUGCCCUUUCCUGAUCAAUGUAAUGUAAGCCCUUUGCAAACCAUGAGAAGUCAAAGUGAUAGGGAGACUGGGGAGGAGAGCUGGGCUUGUGGUAGGUCAGCCUUGGUUUGGAUUUAGAGCGGGGACUACAUGUGGGAGCUCUGAGAGAUAUGGGGCCAUAACUCCGUGGAGGAACACCUGCCUGCUUGCGUGCAGAAGGGUCCAAGUCCCCUCCCUGGCAGCAUCUCCAAGAGAGGGCUGGGAGAGACUCCUGCCUGCAAGCUUGGAGAAGCCACUGCCAGUCUGGGUGGACAAUCCUGAGCUAGACGGAUCAAGGGCGGACUUGUUAGGAAGCAGCUGCCUCUGUUCGGGUGGGCGGUCCCAAGUGAGGCUGGUGGGUGGACUCCAGGAGCCCCUUCCCCUCCCCGUUCUGGGCCAAAAGUCCCUGAAGAGCUGGCAGUUUGGUCACCGGGCCUGUGUUCAUAUACAAUUUCCCAUCCCCACCUUGGCACUCUCUCUCUCUCUCUCUCUCUCUCUCUCUCUCUCUCUCUCUCUCUCUCUCUUUCUCCUAGUAGGGCGCCACUGCCGUGGUCCAUCAGUGAAACCUGCCAUCAGGAACAGAGUUGACCAGCUGCAGGCCUCCGUUGCCUGGCAGAAAGGUUUCGCUGGCUGACCUUACCGGCAGGUGGGGUUAGCAGAAGAAACCAGCUCAGGCCUCUUCCACUAGGGGCUCCCUUGGCAGUGCACCGCUUAGGUAGCGGGGAAGUCGGAACUUGAGUCAGUGCUCAAGGGGAUCCUGAGGGGACCCCGGCAGGAGGGAGGGGUGGGCACACGCCCCCCCCCACAGCCCCCCCUCCACCCUAGAGCUGGGAAGCCGAAGUGGCCUGCUGGAGGUCUGUGGAGGGGCUGGAGGAAGGAAUGGUCUCCGUGUCCGCCAGUGCCAGGGGGCUUCAGCCUCCAUGCCCUACUGAUGCCCCGCUCCCAGUCAAGAAACCUCAAGAUAAUUCUCUUCGGAAUGAGUACAUAUUCAGUGUCAUUGAAGUCUAUGCCUAACAACUGUGAGAAUUGUCCCAAGAGAAGACAGCUGUGAUACCUUGCUUGCAAAGCUGGAAAACAGAAACCAAGUUGGAUAUGCCUGCUCUACACACAGAUCAAGCUGCAAGCAAUGCAACCCCAUGGACUUGCUCGCUGGACUCUGGACGUGCCUUGGAGUCAGCACAGAGCAAUUCCUCAGGCAAAAGCUCUGUGCAGCCCCAGCGUCUGGGCUCCUGCUUCGCUCGCUUCCCUACGAGCGCUGGGAGAGGGGAGGAAAGGUCUCUCUCUUUUGGAGGCCACUGAGGAGGACCAAGGCUGGAGACGGGAUGCAGCAGCCACAGGACCCCCGGGACGGAGAGCCGCGGGGGACCGAGAAGGGAAGUCCUCACACCCAGCCCAGCCCAGCCGGAGGAGACCCCUCCAGGCAAGUGUCUCCUGGGCCAAGAAGACUUCUCCCAGCAGCAGCAGGAGGUGAUCCCAGCUCUUCAGGAUCCGACUCGGUCUUGACACACGGAGGGUGUGUGUGUGUUCUCAGACUGAAGGCUACGACUGGGAGACGGCCGCCAUCAACGUACUCAUGGACAGCCAUAGAAAUCUUUGGCUCGUAUCUGACCACAAUGCCGCUUGCUGCCUGCCUAUUUUGGAGUUUUGCUUGUCUGCAAGAACAGUCUGCUGUUAGCAUUAUGGAAAUGUCGUCAUAUAUGCGACUCUGAACAGGGCAAUGAAACUUGGGAUGAACUCUUGUGUUGAACCUUUCUGUUUUGCAUUUAUAGCUAUGUAAUCAAUUUGAUACUGUUUGAAUGGUUGUACUUUAUAUAAGGGAAUCUUCUGUGUGUACUUAUUAUUUGUAAUUAUGUACACACAUCAAUCGUUGGGGGGGGCGGGUUCUAUAGCUAUGACCCUUUGCUGAUUGCGAUCAGGCAGAAAAAGCACUUUGCUCCCGGUGUUCUGAUGAAAUUCAUUGUACCAGCUGCUUGGCUGACCACAAGGAAAGGAGAAGUAGUGACUGCCCUUGCAGUCUAUGUCCAUUAGAGCACUGAUUUGAUUUUUAAUUCACAAAUUGUUAUCAAGGUAUCUAGAUACACACACAGUGUUGAUAUGCUUUGAUGCCUCAUUGUACUCCAAUAUAUUGAAUAAGAGGGGAUUUUUUAUUUAUGCUUUUGAUUUAUACUUCUGACCAGGAGUCAAAAACUGGCAGAUUAAGAUUUUUUUGUCAUUUAUUUCUUUUCUUUUUCAUCUGUUCCCAAAAUGGGUAGGUUAGUCUGGUUUCACUAUGUCAGUUGGAUGUUUUAAGAACAUCUAUACAGACCAUAUAGGAGAAAUGACCCUUUUGUUUUCAGGAAUGACUGCAACCCAGACAUGAAACCUGUCUGACAUUGAUCAUCUGAUGAUGGUAUCAUUGUGUUGCCAAUGUAAAUUUGCAAAGUGUUGUGAUUUAUACUUCUAUACUAUAUGACAUCUUCCUAAUUAAUAGUGAGAGGCCUUUAGUUCUAUAAAGUAACCUAUCAGGAUCUACUGUGCAUCCCAGACCACCAUUUUGGGAGGUACAAAAUAGAAAAGGUGCAAGACCAUGGAGGGGCUGAGCUAGUUUGUGUUUCCCCCUUUUGGGGUGGGGGAGGGAGAACAUUUCAUGUGCGUCUUGUCCUGUCUCCCUUUGCGGAGAGAAAACUUCUCUCUGUUGUGUCUCCCCUUUUGGGGGGAGAGAACCUUCCUCCUUGAAUCUUCUCCCUCUCUUUCUCCUGACUUAGAUGUGGACUUCAAGCUCUGGUUUUAGUUCUUUCGACUUUUAUCGGGUGUCUUGUUUUGAGUGCUAGCCUUCGUGCAGCCGCUGCAGGCUGCAUCAACAGGAGUGGUGAGAUAUCUUGUUCUGUUCAAGGGAUUCGAAUCUGUGCUUAAUUUGUCUAGAUUGGUAAAAUUGGUUUUAUUUGCUUCUGCUAAAGUAUGCUCUGCUAACUGAUUACUAAUGUAAUUCAAAAUAAAAGGGUUAUCCUGAUU